UUUGGAGUCCGGGAAGUACCACAGGCCUCCACAGGCUUCACCCCCUUCGAACUGCUGUUUGGGAGACAGCCCAGGAGCCUUCUAGACGACAUCUAGAAGGCCACU